rnacentral:rRNA from 1 species
GACGAACGCUGGCGGCGUGCUUAACACAUGCAAGUCGAACGGAAAGGCCCUGCUUUUGUGGGGUGCUCGAGUGGCGAACGGGUGAGUAACACGUGAGUAACCUGCCCUUGACUUUGGGAUAACUUCAGGAAACUGGGGCUAAUACCGGAUAGGAGCUCCUGCUGCAUGGUGGGGGUUGGAAAGUUUCGGCGGUUGGGGAUGGACUCGCGGCUUAUCAGCUUGUUGGUGGGGUAGUGGCUUACCAAGGCUUUGACGGGUAGCCGGCCUGAGAGGGUGACCGGCCACAUUGGGACUGAGAUACGGCCCAGACUGCUACGGGAGGCAGCAGUGGGGAAUAUUGCACAAUGGGCGGAAGCCUGAUGCAGAAACGCAGCGUGCGGGAUGACGGCCUUCGGGUUGUAAACCGAGUUCGCAUGUGAAGAAGAGUGAGUGACGGUAAUGGGUAAAGAAGCACCGGCUAACUACGUG